rnacentral:rRNA from 1 species
UACAGAGGGUGCAAGCGUUAAUCGGAUUUACUGGGCGUAAAGCGUGCGUAGGCGGUUCAGUAUGUCGGUCGUGAAAUCCCCCGGGCUUAACCUGGGAACUGCGGCCGAAACUGCUGAGCUUGAGUGUGGUAGAGGAAGGUGGAAUUCCAGGUGUAGCGGUGAAAUGCGUAGAUAUCUGGAGGAACACCGAUGGCGAAGGCAGCCUUCUGGGCCACAACUGACGCUGAGGUACGAAAGCGUGGGUAGCAAACAGG